GACGAACGCUGGCGGCGUGCUUAACACAUGCCAGUCGAACGGAAAGGCCUCUUUCGGGGGGUACUCGAGUGGCGAACGGGUGAGUAACACGUGGGUAACCUGCCCUUGACUUUGGGAUAACUUCAGGAAACUGGGGCUAAUACCGGAUAGGAGCUCCUGCUGCAUGGUGGGGGUUGGAAAGUUUCGGCGGUUGGGGAUGGACUCGCGGCUUAUCAGCUUGUUGGUGGGGUAGUGGCUUACCAAGGCUUUGACGGGUAGCCGGCCUGAGAGGGUGACCGGCCACAUUGGGACUGAGAUACGGCCCAGACUCCUACGGGAGGCAGCAGUGGGGAAUAUUGCACAAUGGGUGGAAGCCUGAUGCAGCAACGCCGUGUGCGGGAUGACGGCCUUCGGGUUGUAAACCGCUUUCGCUCAUGUCGAAGCUUUGUGUGACGGUAGUGGGUAAAGAAGCACCGGCUAACUACGUG
rnacentral:rRNA from 1 species